GACAGAGGUGCCGAGCGUUAGGCGGAAUCACUGGGCUUAAAGCGUGUGUAGGCGGACCGUUAAGUACCUUGUGAAAUCCCCCGGCUCAACCGGGGAACGGCUGGGUAUACUGGCGGUCUUGAGCCAUCCAGGGGCAGUCGGAACAGACGGUGGAGCGGUGAAAUGCGUAGAUAUCGGGAGGAACACCAGAGGCGAAGGCGGCGAACUGGACACUUACUGACGCUGAGACGCGAAAGCGUGGGGAGCAAACAGG
rnacentral:rRNA from 1 species